UGGGAUGACAGGUCCUUCCCCGGGCUGGGGCUGGGGGUGGGGUGGAGUGCAGGUUCUUUGGCUGUGCGAGGGGCCCUGGCUUCUUUGCGGCCGCCCCCCCAACUUCUCCCGGAUUUCAUACUUCACAUUCCCCAGCAUGGUUCUGACAGGCCUGAGAGCAGGGAGUCCUCACGGCCUGGGAAGGUGGUGGGAAGUUUGAACAGCUGCAGAACCUGCCCACCCGCUAUCUCUAGCUACAUACUUCAUACUUAAAAAAAAAAAAAAAAAAAAAAAACACCAACCCAAAUUCUUAGGCUUAUGUAACACACUUGGAAGUCAAGGAGCCAAGAUUCAUUAUCAACAGCCCAGGAGGGGGUUGCGAAACACUUGUUCUGAAGAAAUCUUUCCAUUGAGAAAAAUUUCCUCUGAGGCUCAGUCUCCCAGUGGCUCUAGGAUGUCGUGGGGCCCGGGGUGUCCUUAAGGCUCCAGAGCCCACUGUUCUCUGCUGCCCUUGGGCCAUGAGCCUGCUGCCUGGAAACCGACUAACACCACUAACAACCCGUGUGCGACUAUGACCUCUUCUAUGAGCUUCGACCCACAUAUCCGGCCAGCCACUUGACAUCUCCUUUGGGGUCUCCCAGACAUGUCAAACAGAUCGUGGACAAGCUGGACUUCUGGAUUUUUCUCCCCAACUCUUUCCCAGCCACCUCCCACUCCAUCUUCCCCAUCUCAGCAAAUCUUGCACCGGCUCCAUCCAGAAGCUUCUAUGUGCUCUGGCUUCUCCCCUUCCAUGCCCGCCGUCAGGAAUUCAUGCACAGACCCUGAGCGUUCCAGGGUUCCACACAUCCUCUCAGUCUUGCCAUUGUCUCUCCUGGGGCCCUGCCUGCCACCCAAUGGAGGUCUACCUCCAUAGAGUGGGGGGCCCUACAGGCCUCACACAACCCUCCCCCAGCAGCUCAUGGGGAACCCUCUAGGCUAACUCUUGUCCCAGACUCCCUACUGCUGCUUUCUUGGGACAUACAAAACAGAGCCUACCUUCCAGCCCAGGGAGAAUGUGGCUUUCAGUUCAUUUACAGAGAAGGGGAGCAGAAUAGAAAUUGAAGCGAGGAAGGAGAAGGUGCUGGUGAGAGGGAGAAAGCUGGGUAAGUGGGUCAUUCCUGCUGUGACUUCAACUUUUGGGAUAUCCAUCCUUCCAACAGAGUAUUUAUUGAGCA